rnacentral:lncRNA from 1 species
CACCUUAUAACCAUAGGCUGCCUACGUACCCUUACUGAGGGAUCAAGCCACACGUACUUCUUUAAUUGCAAAACCACUCUAGUUCUCAUAUUUCAUCUCAGCUCUCUAUUUCAAACUUCCUGGCAUUUCUCACAUAGCAAUAUAUAAUCAAAAGAAGAAAUAAAAGCAUUUAUAUCAAGUAAUCAUGCUUGGAAAGUCAUAACCAUCAAUUCCUCGUGACACCAAUGGUGACACGUCC